UGGGGAAUAUUGCACAAUGGGCGAAAGCCUGAUGCAGCGACGCCGCGUGAGGGAUGACGGCCUUCGGGUUGUAAACCUCUUUCAGCAGGGAAGAAGCGAAAGUGACGGUACCUGCAGAAGAAGCGCCGGCUAACUACGUGCCAGCAGCCGCGGUAAUACGUAGGGCGCGAGCGUUGUCCGGAAUUAUUGGGCGUAAAGAGCUCGUAGGCGGCUUGUCGCGUCGGUUGUGAAAGCCCGGGGCUUAACCCCGGGUCUGCAGUCGAUACGGGCAGGCUAGAGUUCGGUAGGGGAGAUCGGAAUUCCUGGUGUAGCGGUGAAAUGCGCAGAUAUCAGGAGGAACACCGGUGGCGAAGGCGGAUCUCUGGGCCGAUACUGACGCUGAGGAGCGAAAGCGUGGGGAGCGAACAGG
rnacentral:rRNA from 1 species